rnacentral:tRNA from 1 species
AUGACCCGAAUUUCCUGCGCUUCGACCCGACCCAAGAGAAACCCUGGUCUAAUGCCCGAUAAGUCCGAGGCUGAAGAGCUGGUCCGAGUGAUGAUGAGGAAUAUGAAUGAGAUAGAGCCACUGUUGAAGACACUGAACAAGUAUGUCAAAGUUGUGAGAACUGAGCACUGUUUUCUUCUUUUUGAACAGCUUGGCAAGAGUGACAAGUGGCUUCAAUGCCUUGAGGUUUGCUUCUAUAAUGCUCUCUUAUGUGAUUUUUCAACUAUUUUAGCUUCUGGGUCUUUCAAAUUUAGGCUUGUAUUGUAACAUGGUUUAGGAUUGAGCUUAUCUGUAUAGUGCCAAUUGCCCCCAAAACCUUUUAAAAAAGGGUUAAGGUAGAGUGGAGACGGAGUUUGAAUAUAGGACUUUGAUGCAAUGAUAAAUUACCAGUUGUAUCAGAAGCUUAAGCCAUUAGGAAAUUGUGAAUUUAAUCAUUUAACCAUUAUUCAAACAAGUUUAUACUCUUUGUGGUUUUCUUUCUUUUUGGUUCAAUAGCAAAAUUUCUCAAGUUUAAGUGUUCUUUCUUAGUUUAAGUUUAUGAAUUUAGUAGAGCCAUUCUAUGCAGGAACUUAUUUGAACUGUGUGAGUUGUGUAUUUGGUUGUCAUACUAUAUUAAAUAUUCCUAGUUCAAAACCAUAGGGUCACUGUUUUAAUCUCUUUGAUUAGACCAAUGCUAUAUGAUGCAGCGAGUUGAGUGAUACUCUAAAUACUUUCAUUAUAGCUAGGUAAAUUUUUUUCUUUUUUAUUUUCAAUGAUAGGUUAGCUAGAAAUAAGUGGACUUCAUGUAAAACAAACUGGAACUAAGAUACAUUGGUUACAAUGUUGGCCUUAAUGUUUGCGGACACAUUUGUUGAGUUGUUGCUUCACUUUCAAAUACCACAUUCAGGUGUUCAGAUGGAUGCAGAAACAACGAUGGUAUGUCGCUGAUAAUGGUGUUUAUUCAAAAUUAAUAUCGGUUAUGGGAAAGAAGGGCCAAACCCGAAUGGCAAUGUGGCUUUUUUUUUUUUAAAUAUUUGGCUAGGUUUUUGUGUUCUUUUUGCCCUAGAAUAAAGAAUGAUAUAAACCAAAACAAAAUAAAUAUAUAUAUAUAUAUAUAUAUAAAGGUCUGCUUGAGAUCCGUUUAUUUUACUGAAACUGAAAACUUUUUACUGAAAAUACUAUAAAUAAAAGUAAAUAUUAGUUGAAAUAGCACAAUGGGACUUAUGAAUAGUACCAAAAAGUGUAAUAAGACCCAUGAACAGUAACAAAAAUAAAUUGAAUAGAAAAAUAAGUUAGCAAAAUAUAAGUUAGCCAAAUAGACGUAGGUUUGUUUAGAUACUACUUAUUGCUAAAAAUUGAAAACUGAAAAUACUGUAACAAAAUAAUUUUUAAAGAUAUAAAUAAUGCCAUAAGACCAAAAAAUGCAUGAGUAUAUGCAUUUUGCUGAGUAUGGUGGUCCCAUGAACAGUGCCGUGGGACCCAAAAAAUAGCCAAACACAAUUGAAACUGGUAUCAAAAGCGUGCACUGUAGCUGUGGUGUAAACGCAAACACAGACGUGGGGCAGAUAAACGCAAUCCAAACGCUCAUGUUGGAGGAGAUCGAGCUGGGUCACAACGGAGGAGAUCGAGCCGCCAUAUAUGUUGGAGAGAUGGGUGUUGUUCACUGGUGAUGGUCCUAACAAGGCGAGGGAGCUUGAGAAAUUUUUAUGGGUCGGGUUUGUGCUUUAGGAGAGUAGCAGGGCUGAAGGGGUAAAGGAAAAUAAGAAAAGAGAAGGCUGAAGGGGAUGAAAUCCUUUCGCGGGUAACAAAACUGCUUUGCUCUGAACAAGUGACAGGUAUGGAGCCCACAAAUAGUGUAAAAAAUAUUGAGUGAUGGUGCAAAAAGGUGUGAUAAAUGAUGAGUUAUGAAUGAUGAAAAUUGAGUGAUAAAAAAAAGCAUCCAAACAUGCUCUAAAGAAUCACUAUCAUCCCAUUUGAUUCUCAUAGUCAUUCUUGAAAGUUGAAACAAAGCCUGGUUAGGAACAGACCAGCCCUAUCAUUUGAGUCCGACUGGCAGAGUAUGAUCAUUGGCAUUCCUGUUUACUUGGAUUGAUAUAUUAAAUAUGAUAAUUAUUGUCGAAUGGAUCUGUGGCGCAAUGGUAGCGCGUCUGACUCCAGAUCAGAAGGUUGCGUGUUCGAUUCACGUCAGGUUCAGUUUUUUAUUUUUCAAACUAUUCAAUUUUUUUUUUUUUUUUUUUUUAAAUUCUUUUGAAACAAAACAAAACAAAACUCUCCAUUUUUACCAUCCAAGUCCCAUAUCUUUUUUUCCUUUUUUUUGACCUUUUAUCUUUUAUCACUAAACUUUUUGUAUUUUCCUUUAACUCCCUAUCUAUUCUCCAUAUUUACCAUCCAAGUCCCAAAUCCCCCCAAAAUUACCUAACCCCAAAUGUUUCUAUUUUCUAAGUCCAGUUCUCACUUCUCUGUCUCACAGCAAAACCACCAAACCCAAUGUUCCAAAAUCUUUCCUCUCACUCUCUCCAACCCUCCUCCUCCUCAUUCACCCUUCAUUCCUCACUAUAUUACACCCACACCCUCAUCUUCACACAACCAUGUCUUUCACUACCCAAUCGUUCUCUUCGGUACAGACCCAUGACCCGAAUUUCCUGCGCUUCGACCCGACCCAAGAGAAACCCUGGUCUAAUGCCCGAUAAGUCCGAGGCUGAAGAGCUGGUCCGAGUGAUGAUGAGGAAUAUGAAUGAGAUAGAGCCACUGUUGAAGACACUGAACAAGUAUGUCAAAGUUGUGAGAACUGAGCACUGUUUUCUUCUUUUUGAACAGCUUGGCAAGAGUGACAAGUGGCUUCAAUGCCUUGAGGUUUGCUUCUAUAAUGCUCUCUUAUGUGAUUUUUCAACUAUUUUAGCAUCUGGGUCUUUCAAAUUUAGGCUUGUAUUGUAACAUGGUUUAGGAUUGAGCUUAUCUGUAUAGUGCCAAUUGCCCCCAAAACCUUUGAAAAAAGGGUUAAGGUAGAGUGGAGACGGAGUUUGAAUAUAGGACUUUGAUGCAAUGAUAAAUUACCAGUUGUAUCAGAAGCUUAAGCCAUUAGGAAAUUGUGAAUUUAAUCAUUUAACCAUUAUUCAAACAAGUUUAUACUCUUUGUGGUUUUCUUUCUUUUUGGUUCAAUAGCAAAAUUUCUCAAGUUUAAGUGUUCUUUCUUAGUUUAAGUUUAUGAAUUUAGUAGAGCCAUUCUAUGCAGGAACUUAUUUGAACUGUGUGAGUUGUGUAUUUGGUUGUCAUACUAUAUUAAAUAUUCCUAGUUCAAAACCAUAGGGUCACUGUUUUAAUCUCUUUGAUUAGACCAAUGCUAUAUGAUGCAGCGAGUUGAGUGAUACUCUAAAUACUUUCAUUAUAGCUAGGUAACUUUUUUUCUUUUUUAUUUUCAAUGAUAGGUUAGCUAGAAAUAAGUGGACUUCAUGUAAAACAAACUGGAACUAAGAUACAUUGGUUACAAUGUUGGCCUUAAUGUUUGCGGACACAUUUGUUGAGUUGUUGCUUCACUUUCAAAUACCACAUUCAGGUGUUCAGAUGGAUGCAGAAACAACGAUGGUAUGUCGCUGAUAAUGGUGUUUAUUCAAAAUUAAUAUCGGUUAUGGGAAAGAAGGGCCAAACCCGAAUGGCAAUGUGGCUCUUCUCUGAGAUGCGUAAUAGCGGCUGCCGGGCUGACACUUCUGUAUAUAAUGCACUCAUCACAGCCCAUCUUCACUCACGAGAUAAAGCAAAGGCUUUGGACAAAGCUAUUGGGUACUUUGAAAAGAUGAAGGGAAUUGAGUGGUGUAAACCCAGCGUUGUGACAUACAACAUUCUUUUGAGAGCUUUUGCUCAAGCUCGAAAUGUAGAACGAGUUAAUGCUUUGUUUAAAGAUCUUGAUGAGAGCAUAAUUUCCCCUGAUAUCUAUACUUAUAAUGGUGUGAUGGAUGCAUAUGGGAAAAAUGGGAUGAUCAGAGAAAUGGAAUCUGUGCUUUCUCGCAUGAAAAUUAAUCAAUGUAAGCCCGAUAUUAUCACUUUUAAUUUGCUCAUUGAUUCAUAUGGAAAAAAGCAAGAAUUUAAUAAGAUGGAACAAGUGUUCAAGAGUUUAUUGCGCUCCAAGGAAAGACCAACACUGCCGACAUUUAAUUCAAUGAUAAUUAAUUAUGGGAAGGCACGACUUAGGGAGAAAGCAGAAUAUGUCUUCCAAAAGAUGAGGGAUAUGGGAUAUACCCCAAGCUUCAUCACCUGUGAGAGUCUUAUACUGAUGUAUGGAUUUUGUGACUGUGUUUCUAGGGCUAGGGAAAUAUUUGAUGGAAUGGUUCAAUCUGGGAAGGGAAUGAAAGUUUCAACCCUUAAUGUCAUGCUUGAUGUUUACUGUAUGAAUGGUUUGCCCAUGGAAGCCAAUAUGCUUUUUGAGAAUGCAAAAGGUAUAGGUGUAAUUCCAAAUUCAUCAACAUAUAAACUUCUUUAUAAGGCUUACACUAAAGCCAACACGAAGGAGCUUUUACAGAAAUUGCUGAAGAAUAUGGACAGGGAUGGCAUUGUCCCUAAUAAGAGGUUUUUCUUGGAGGCUUUGGGAGCUUUUGGGUCUUUACCAGCAAGUGCUGAGUCUAAAGUCACCCGUCAAGCUAAAAAUAGAAAUCCCUCACUUCAAAGGGUGUCAGCUAGUACCACAACUGAUGUCAGCAGGAAACAGGAUAGUGCAAAAACUUAG